GGGGAUUUAGCUCAGUGGUAGAGCGCUUGCCUAGCAAGUGCAAGGCCCUGGGUUCAGUUCCCAGCUCCG
rfam:Rattus norvegicus chromosome 4, whole genome shotgun sequence.